rnacentral:rRNA from 1 species
CCAUCGAGUCUUUGAACGCAAGUUGCGCCCGAAGCCGUCAGGCCGAGGGCACGUCUGCCUGGGCGUCACGCAACGUCGCCGGCGCCCGAUCCUCCGGGCGCGGCGGAUGAUGGCCUCCCGGGAGCCACGACUCCCGGCCGGCCGAAAAGGGGGSCCUACKUGACGGCCGCCACGAUCCACGGUGGUUGAGUGAGCGUUCGCUCGAGGCCAGGACGUGCGCGCGCCGUCCGACCGGGAGGGCCCGCCGGAGGGGGAAGAGCCCCCCGCUCGAACGCGACCCCAGGUCAGGCGGGGCUACCCGCUGAGUUUAAGCAUAUCAAUAAGCGGAGGAAAAGAAACUAACGAGGAUUCCCCUAGUAACGGCGAGCGAACCGG